CAAAUCAGGUAGGACUACCCGCUGAACUUAAGCAUAUCAAUAAGCGGAGGAAAAGAAACUAACAAGGAUUCCCCUAGUAACUGCGAGUGAAGCGGGAAAAGCUCAAAUUUGUAAUCUGGCGGUCUUGGGCCGUCCGAAUUGUAAACUAGAGAAGCGUUAUCCGCGCUGGACCGUGUACAAGUCCCCUGGAAUGGGGCGUCAUAGAGGGUGAGAAUCCCGUCUUUGACACGGACUACCAGGGCUUUGUGAUGCGCUCUCAAAGAGUCGAGUUGUUUGGGAAUGCAGCUCAAAAUGGGUGGUAAAUUCCAUCUAAAGCUAAAUAUUGGCGAGAGACCGAUAGCGAACAAGUACCGUGAGGGAAAGAUGAAAAGAACUUUGGAAAGAGAGUUAAACAGUACGUGAAAUUGCUGAAAGGGAAACGCUUGAAGUCAGUCGCGUUGGCAAGGGAUCAGCCUUACUUCUGUGGGGUGUACUUCCUUGUUGACGGGUCAGCAUCAGUUUUGGCUGCUGGAUAAAGGUUAGGGGAAUGUGGCACCUCCGGGUGUGUUAUAGCCCCUAGCUGGAUACAGUGGCUGGGACUGAGGAACUCAGCACGCGCAAGCUGUGCUUAGGAUGCUGGCAAAAUGGCUUUAAUCGACCCGUCUUGAAACACGGACC
rnacentral:rRNA from 1 species